rnacentral:rRNA from 1 species
UGGGGAAUAUUGCACAAUGGGCGCAAGCCUGAUGCAGCCAUGCCGCGUGUGUGAAGAAGGCCUUCGGGUUGUAAAGCACUUUCAGCGGGGAGGAAGGCGUUAAGGUUAAUAACCUUGGCGAUUGACGUUACCCGCAGAAGAAGCACCGGCUAACUCCGUGCCAGCAGCCGCGGUAAUACGGAGGGUGCAAGCGUUAAUCGGAAUUACUGGGCGUAAAGCGCACGCAGGCGGUUUGUUAAGUCAGAUGUGAAAUCCUCGGGCUCAACCUGGGAACGGCAUCUGAGACUGGCAAGCUUGAGUCUCGUAGAGGGGGGUAGAAUUCCAGGUGUAGCGGUGAAAUGCGUAGAGAUCUGGAGGAAUACCGGUGGCGAAGGCGGCCCCCUGGACGAAGACUGACGCUCAGGUGCGAAAGCGUGGGGAGCAAACAGG